UGAGAGAAAACAGUUUGUGCUGGCAGUCACUUGCGGGAGUUGAGGUGUGGAGUAAGUGACACAAGACUGGAGAUCGUGUUACUCAUGUACUGUGGUUGUUUGGAGGACCACACUCGUGCAGCACUUGAGGAGUGAUCACGGCAGGAAGGAGGAAGAUGCACCAUGCCGGUGGCCGGCGGCCGAGUACAGAAGCGGGUUAAUGAACGCGCUGGCAACCACAACCUGGAUCCUGGCAGCCUGCAUAGCUCACCUGCAGCCCACCAUGAUGCCCUCCAGGAGGUGGCUGGCUGGCACAUGGAGGACUGGGAGGAGCUUGAAGCACUGUUGGAGAGUGAGCACCUUAUCCUGGGACAGGAGCAGCAACAACAACAACAACAACAUUCUGGCUCAGAUAUCAACCUCCUCCAGAGUCCAGAGCGUGCCCCACGGCUGCCCCCCGAGGCACCUGCAUCCCGUAGCAGCUCUCGCCGGUCCUUACCUCGCACUCGUGGGGGCUUCUCUGUGCCUCUCCACCAGUUGUCCUCCAUCCUCCUCAACAUGACUUUCUCUGACACUGAGGAUGACCACCAGGGUGGCAGCGGUGGCAGGAACACGAGCAACGAACAAGACCACUCCCUGAGCCGCUCCCGCACAGAAUCAGGAGUGAGUAAUGCCUCCACGGUGUCCCUGGCCAGUCCUUCCUCCUCUGCUGGGCCUGCAGCUACCUCCAAUGGGCCAGCUGCCUCAGGUGGUGCUGCGGGAGUGGACAUGGUGGCUGCAGCCCAGACUGCCUCCUCCAUGGUGGACAUGACAGGUGUGGAUAAGAAGAAGAUUGUGGAGAAGCUGCAGCAAAUUCAGGGGUACAUCCAGCAGACCACUGCUGCUAUGGCUGCACUGGAGCAGCAGGGAGACACUAGCUUACAGAGUGACAUUUAUGCUCGCUAUGUUCACCUCAAUAAGUCUCUCCAGCAGCAGGAGGAAGAGUAUUUGGACAUUCUAGCAAGGUCUCUUGUCCUUAAUAAGGCUGCUGCACAGGUGGCCAAUGGGACGCAGCAAAGCACAGCACCAAGUGGCUCUCCUGCAGCACAAGUCAAUGGCCGAGAUGAGCCAGCGGCAGAGGAAGGCAGCCGUCUUGUGGGAAUGAUCAGCACUGACAAUGUGCGCACCAUGAGCUCGGAAAACGUUCGCUCGCUGCAGGAUCGCCUUGCAGCAAGUCAGGAGGAGUCUGUGGCCAUCAUGAGCCAGAUGAGAGCCAGCAUAGCGCGCAGGGAAGACCUCUUGACACGCUACAAGGCCACCCAGGAGCGCCUGGCCAAUCUCAAGCGGCAGCGUCAGGGCAUUCAUGAGGAGAAGCAGCGUCUCCUGCAGCAGGGAGCUGGUGAUGCUUCUGCUUCUGGUGAUACUGCGGAGGGAGAGGAGGACCCCAUCCCAGGAGCCGAGAAUUGGCCAUUGGCAGAGGUGACACGUGCAUUGGUGGACUUCCAGGCUUUGCUGGAUAAGGUGGAGCGGCUCACUUCUGUUUACUCCAACAGGGCACAGGAUAUGGCUGCUGAUGAAGAGGGUCAAGCAGACAUAAACAACAAGUUGAGUCUUCUGGCCAGCAGGCGGCGGCAGCUCACUGAUGUAGUUGCCAGACUUAAAAGAUUUCAGUUGGUGAGGCAGCAGGAGGAGAGAGAUGGUGCAGGUGAGGAAGGUGGUCACCACCCAGUCUCUGAUGCUCCUGCUGGGACUCCAGACUUGAACCACAUCCCCGUGUCUAACACCCACUCUGGCAUGGGGGAUGAGACAGCACCACCAUCCACAUUGGCAGCUUCUGUGCCUAGUGUCAAUGGGAAGGGAAGUGUAAGUUCUAUUAGUCAGACAGCUAGUGUGAGAGCAGCUGCUGAAUCUGUUAGCCAGGCAUCAGAGGAGCUGCAGUCCCGUAAGGCUCAGCUAAGUUCUCUCCAGAAGCAGCUGAGUGACAUGAAGAAGAUGCUUGAUAUGGCCAACAUGGUCAACAUGGCACGGCAGGAAGUGAGGGAGCAGGUUGAAGGUGCCUGUUCCUUGCCACCUGCUAGUGGGGAGCUGGAGGGAGCUGUGGCAGGAGAGGUCUUGGAGGUGUCUGGCAAGAAGAUUGUUCUGACCGAAGCUGAAAGGCAGAAUCCAGAAAUAGCUGCAAAAUACAAUCAGCUGUCAAAAGCCAAGGAGCGGCUGGCCAAGAUGGAGGAGGUCAUCACUAUGAUCAGUCAAGCACGUCAGAGUGGACAAAAUCUGCGAGACGUGUUGCCUCAGGACUACCUGGCUAUACUGGAGGAAGCUGAGGAGGACUUCCCUGAUCCCAGCCGGCCUGCUCCCCUAAGCCUCCCUGCCCCACAGAGAUCUGUAGAGAUAGAAGAGGACUUAGGCAGGCUCUCCAGGUGCCCUACUCGCCCUCCUCGUAUGGGCAGUGCAGGCCGCAGUGAGACUGGGCCAGGGCUAGGCCGAGACUCACAGGAGAGCCGGGAAAUUUCUGCCAUGCAGCAACGACUCAACAAAACCAGCACGCGAGUAUCUGCUGUCAACGAGAGGUCAAGGCAUGGGCAUGAGAAGGGUGCCAUCAAGAAGCAGCCACAGGCAUUAUGGCAGGGCAACAGUGGGGGCAGCAGCAGCAGGGGAGGUGGAGCAGCAGAAGAUCCACGCCUGGCCCAAGUUUUAGCCUUGCAGGAGGAACUGCGACAGAAGAAGAAUGCACUGGAGGCCCUCAUGAGGCGCAUGGGCAAGUCCUCCUCCCUCAACAUGGAUAACAUCUCUGAUAAUAUCUCAGACAACGUCUCCGACACAUCUGACCACCUCGGGGAGACUCGGGGCACCAGUGGAGCAGCCACUUGGGGCGAAGCAGCACCACUGCACCACUUCUCUGACAAUCAUUAUCAGCAGUCCAGUGAUGAUGACCUGAUCGAUGAAGAUGAAGCAGAUCUCCCUCCACGAAGCCAGGUCCGCCCGCCGCAGCCACCGCCACCGCCAGGAGCCAUGUCUCCCAAGGACCGUAACCGUCACUCAGCCAGCCAGCACCGCCGCCGGCAGGACUCAGGCCGCCUCUCUGUCAACAACCUGUCUGCCACUCUUCCUACUCCCACCAGGACUAAGCACAAUCGCCUUAGAUCAAGCAGUGCUCCCAAGGCCCUGUGGGAAUCUGUAGGCACACCUGAAGGUCCCAACUAUAAGUCUCCUUCCAACACAACAAUGCAGACCCAGCACAGCCUCAAUACUGCUCUCAAUCAGCUUAACCAAGUACAGGGGACCAUCAACACCCUGCAGGAAAGCCUUCGCCAGGAGCAGAGUCAUGUCAUGGGAAGUUCCAGGGCUUCCCCUUAUCAUCCCCAGCUGGUGCCACCCCUCUUGCCAGAUCUCACUCCUACCUCCCUGCCCCCUGUGGCUCCUCCCAGUCAGGCACUUACUCCAAUGUCUGCCUAUGCUGGCCUGGGCUCCCUUGCUCUGGCUUCUCAAGGAGGUGGAGAGACGAUCAAUCAACAGCUGUUAGCAGGGAUGCAGCAGUGCUUUUCUCAGCUGCAUCUGCAUUCCCUGGAGAUACAGGCCCUGAGCAAGCACCUUCAGCUUUUGGAGAGGAGAGAGCAGACAGGUUCUGCUGCCAUGGCUGAUGUAGGGGAGGGCCUGUGUCAGGGUGGGAGGGGAGCUGCCAGGAGAAGUGAAGAGGAAGAAGAGGAUGAAGACAAUGAGGAGGAAGACGAGAUCCAUGGAAGCACUCGACCUCAUUAUCCUCACCACCACAAUCUCCUGGCAAACCCCAGUGGCCUGCGUCCUGGGAAGGAUGGAGGGGCUGCAAGGACACCACAGGAUUCCUUCUCUGUGUUCCUACGGCAGCAAAGUGAAGGUGGGGGCAUGCCUUCCACUGGUGUUACCAAUCCUAUCUAUGGCCACCUUGGAGAUCUGCGAGACCAAGCAGGGAGCACCUGGGGCUCCCUGGCACCCACCCCGGGCACAGAACAACCAACUGAUACCUUAGGAUCUCUUCUGGAAGCAGGAGCUGGGGCUGGAACAUUGGAAGGAAGUCCCUCACACCCUCUUUUACAUCUGGGUCGCUUGGGGGAGGAGGGUAGCCAGUCCCAAGCUCCAGAGGCACACCACUGGGCCUCCCUUGCCUCCACCCACCCCCUGCAUCACCAGACCACUGACUUGCUCAAUAACCAGGUUCCACCAGGCACACGUGCCAACAACUAUUGGGAUAACUUCCGCAGCUAUUCCCGCCAGAACCUGCUCUCUACCACCACCAAGAGCAACACCAGUGACAUCCACCCACCCUCCACCUCCUCAGUCUCCGUCCCCACUCACAGCGCUGCCUCUGCCCUACUUCCAGGGCGGGAGGGCAUACGAGGAGAGGACAAACGGUUCAACGUUUCUGUCGGCCACAACAACACUAACUGUGGGGCAGGAGCUCGGGCCAGAAUGCCCAAUCCCCACAUCAAUAAUCCCCAGGGUGCCACCAAUCCCAGAGUGAGAAACCCUGUGGCUUCCAGCUCCAAGCACCUGCUCGGCCAGAACAAGCACAAGGCAAACAACAGGAACAAACAAACAGGCGACUUGUGGUCAGCCUCAAAGUGCAGCGAGAGGAACCUGCCAUCUCAGGAGCGAGGCUCAGGUGGAAGGAACCGGGGCUAUCUCAACUACAACAGUGCCCGUGCCAAUACUAGUGACAGUGAGGGUGGAGGCGAGGGCACCAACACUGCUGGGGUGACGCUGGAGGUGUUGCGUGAAGCAGAGGCACUAAUCCGCCGCCACGCCAACCAGCCAGAGUUUCUGCUUCAAUUGUUCCGCCAUGCAUCAGAGAUCACCGUGCACACAGACCAGCAUGUGGCUGUAGCCUUGCUGCAUGACCUGGCCACCCAGCCCCACCGACCCUCCACUCAUGGAGUGAAUGCCAACAUCAGAGGAAGCAGCCGCAGACGUGCUGAAGGCACCACUGGUUUGUCUCUGUCAGCCCCACUGAGAGACUCAUGGCAGCCACAGCCUCACCACAGUCAUCCCCAGAACACCCUCCCUCAGGAGAAUGUGAGUGUGGUGGACCUGUCGGGGUCAGAGGUCAGCGAAAGUGGCCUGACUUCUGAGGAUGAGGACAACAGGGCUUUGUACCGCAAUGUAAAGAACCUGAGCCUCAGUCCUGGCGGAGCAGUGGCAGCCCCUCCUGCACCCCCGGGGGACGUGAACUCUGGUGCCCGGCCACAGUACCCCCAGCCACCACCCCUUCACUCUGGCCCUCACUACGACCACAACUACCAUGACUUCCCACCACAUGGCCACCACAACCUCUCCAACCCCCCCACCACGCAGGGAGGGGAAAGCACUCGCAGUGUUGCUAAUUCAGAGAGCUCCCUGUAUGAUCACCUUGUGUUUAAUGAUUCUCACCUGGCCAGCAGACAGGAGGUGGUGGAAGACUGGGUGAGACGAGGGGUGGAGGAAGAGGCAGGGCCCAGUAAACUCCCAAACCAGCCAGACACUGCUGGCUCAUCCCCUGAGGAUGCCCAUAACCUCAUCCAUCCUCUGAACAAUGACACAGAGUACCUCACCUUUGAGACUCUUGUGGCCUCUGCUGUGAGGGAGAGCACUGAAGUACUGCAGGCACAGGCAUGUGAGGAUGUGGCCUCCCCUCUCCUGCUCAACUCCCUUCACCACAGUCUUGUAGCCCAUAUCCAGACUCGAGCCCAGUCCCUGCGGCUGCCCCAGAGCUUUCUCUUCUCUACAGACACUGAAUUAAAAUCUGUCCUCCAAAACUUUGCGGGGAAACCGCUGGCACAGGUGAGCAGCGAUGUGCCCUCUAUCAUCUCCCAGGUGCUGCUGACCCAAUAUUGUUCAGUUUUGGUGCAACGACUAAGGGACAAUCGACCUCUGCUGCCUCAGACCCCAACCAAGCUGUCCACGACUCCUUUGGCCAAGGCUGGUGAAAUGAAUCUGGAAGGUGCCAGUGCCACUCCCACAUCUGCCCUGCCUGAAUGCCAUCCUACUCAGGAGGUGACCACAGCCACCCAAACCGAAGCUGCAGUGUUCUCCCUCCAUCCUCAGCGGCCAAGCCUUCACACUGGCCACAACUUCAGCCUCACUGCUGGGGCUGCUGCCAUCCAUCCACCUCCACCACCCCCUGCACCUGAGAGUACUCCUGUGGAGAGUGCCUGGCAGGCCCCUCCACCUCCACCUGCCCCACUGCCCUCGCCUAACCACAACCCUGGAGUCGGGGAGCCUCUAUCUGAGAGUGCAGCCUGUGGAGGUGCAGCACUCCCAGGAGCCCAGUCUGGGGUGUGGGGUGCAGAGGGGGUGGCUUCUCCCACAGCUGCCCUGGGAGCCAGCUGUGGUGAAGCAGAGCAGGAGGAGGCCAUGAUGGAUGAUCUUGGUGAGCCCACACUGGUACACACACUGGCAGAAGCUGAUCAGUCACAAGAUGCAGUGGAGGGAGAUUGGGGUGAGGAUUCCCAGGCAGAGGGCAUCGUGCAGGCUGAGGGUGGCCGGCCAUCAUGCAGCUCUCACUCUCUUCCCCUCUCACAGCACCCUGGCUGGCUUCCUUCCCGAGAUGCUUCCUCCCAGCUGGAGAUGGAGGUAGAGGUAGAAGGUCUAGUGGAGAGUGACGCAGCAGAAGCAGCUGCUCUUGGGGUAGGUCACCUCCUCUUCAUGGAUCAGCAGAGUCAGGAGUUAGAUGAGGUGCCCACCAAGCUACAGAGCCCAGAGGGAAGCUCUCCUGCUGAUACCCCAGACCAGCCUCUCCCCCAGCACCACAAUAAUCACCAUCACCACCACCACCACCACCAGCAGUGCCCCCAAUCACCUGAUGGUCAGUGAGCCACACAGCACAAAUGUGGGAGGAGGAGGAAUGGUGGAUAAAGAACUUUCUAUUGAAAUAAACCGGAGUGAAGGGUGACGGAAACAGGUACGCAGCUGCUCCUUCUCAUGCUGUCAUGGGAGGAAGAAAGAAGGAAAAGCCUGGCGACCAUCAAUGGAAGCCAAAAGAAUGAAAAGUAUAACAGAGGAACCUCACAGUAUAGCCAGAGGGGAGGCACUGAUGUUUGGGGAGGAUGAGGAGUUAAGUGAUGAAGAGACCCAGGAACAACAAGCAUGUGUGAUGUCCAGUCCAGUGCUAAUGCUAAGCUCAUGUUUGGUGAGCUUUUUCACUUUAUUCAUGUGCAAGAUGAGGGUUAACCAGCCCACCCAUAAAUGAAGGCCAGUAUCUUCCAUAGCAUCCAUUCAACCAGUCAGAUAAACAGGUCAUCAGCAUGAGAACAAAAGCAUUGAGGGAAGAGUACUUGAUAGUGUCAGCAGUAAGUUCAGUACACCUAUCACACAGCAGCUGUUAAAACAUAUAAUUGUGCAGUCACAGUAACGUGCUGGGGAUAAUUACAGGAAUAAAAUUACUCAUUUCUUAUAUGAAAAUUAAGGCACUGUGUGUAUAUCAAAUAAUCUUAGCAAAAACUUUAAUUGUCAGGAAAUCUUUCCUAAUGUUACAUGUAGGAUUUGUUGUUUAGUGUUAUCAGCUGGUCCAUAUGGCUGCCAUCUGCUGUGUAGCGUCUCUGCGAGCAUUGGAACCACGUGGCCAGCCAACCUGCAUUCUGCUCAAACAAGUUUUGGAAGGUUCCUUCCUCUGGAGUCUGAUUGACUUUCCAGGAGUUAGGAAUGUUGUACCACAGACAAGCCCAUGACAAUCAGAGCUUAUGAGUAACCAUGUUGUCAGUGUCAGGUUAUGUAUUUGAUCUUAGUGUGAUGAUCGUGCCAAAGGCUGCCUCACAUCACAGAGGAGAGCCCAGGAUUCAUUGUAACAAGUUAAAUACUUUUUGACUCUAUUGCACUUGAAAUAUCAUGUGUGUUAUAUACCAUCAUUACAGUUAGUGUAUGAAGAUUAUGAAGAAGCCUGAAAUUACUAUAUUUCCACACUUAAAUACUUAAUUUUCCUUAAUUCUAAAGUUUUCAGCCUGACUACCUUACAGUUAUCUUGUUACAGCUUCUGUUUCUCAGUAGGAUUAUGUUUCAGAGCAUUAUGUACUCAUCAUAUGGUCGUCUUUUACUUUUUCAAGAUAUUGCUAGAUAUUACUCAUGUAGUAUACUCAUUUUGUCAGUGUUUCAAUUUGGUGUUGCCAACAUCUUGACCUCCACCCAAUGAGAUCUGGCCUGUCUCUUCCCCUUCACCAGUGUGACCAGGCCUUUCUCUUCCAUUCCUUAGUGUUACCUGACCCAUCUCUCCCCUUCCCUCAGUGUGACCUGACCUGUCCUCUUCCUUUGUGAGUGUGAUCUCAUGGUCCCUCUUCCUUUUUGAGUGUGAUCUGACCUGUCCACCACCUCUCAGUGGAGUCUGUUCCCUGUGCACCAAGAACCAUCCCCAUCAAUCUGUUUCCUCUCCCCCUCCAGUGUGACUGGCUAUAUGUACUGAAGGACAUCUUACCAUCAACAUGUUCUUACUGGAAACAUUGACAUCACAUCCAUUGUUUCUUAGUGUUCCUUGAGUCGGCAUUUCUUACGUCUCAACAUCCAAGAAACCAGUCUGGUGAAGAACUACCAACUGCUAUCCAGGCAAUACAUGAGUCAAGUCAUGUGAAAACUGUUCAAGUUUUAGGUAAUAUUGAAUUCAUAUUCCAUAUAAAUCAAAAGAAUAAGUGAUUUUACUUAUUUUUUAUGAAUAUUUCUGCAUUUUCUCUUUAUUUCCAAAAGGGAGAAAUACUUUUUCAUUAAGGUAGUGGAUUGAGAAACAUUGAAUGUCCAGUGAUGGAAGCAACAUGGCAGUAAGAAUCAAGGUGAAAGUUCUGUGAUGAGUGAAUGUUCUGCCAGUAAGAAGGUUUGGCGAGUCUCAGAAUAUGUGAACUGAAGAGGAACAAGGCAGAUAGUACAUGUUCAACCAUGCAUUGUUAUGAACCUACUCUGCUUUGUGUAUCCAGCUUAUUGCAGCAUUUAACCUGAGUAUAAAUGUAAGCUGAAGUUAACAAGGCUAUUAUAAUCAAAGUAAAUGAGA